AUCAUCGAUUCCUGAGAUAAGGAAAUAGUUAGGGAUUUGCAAAAAGCUAGUAUUAAACUAGAAAGAAAGAAAGUAAGAGAAACAGAAAAGAAACAGAGGAGGAAGAAGAGGAAGGCAGAGCAGCCGCGAGCCACCGCGGCGGGGCGCGAGGCAGCGGCAACGCCGCGUGCCCGCCACGGCGGUCGCGGUGGCGCCAAGCAAGAGAGAGAGAUUGACGAGGAGAGAGGGAGACAGAGAGAUCGAAGAGGAGAGCAGAGAGAUGGACAGAAGAGAUCAGACGAGAGGGAGAGAGAUAGAUUACCUGAGACAGAGGUGGCGGUGGUGCGAUGGAGACGGCGGUGGCAGAGGCAGCACUCGUUGGAGGGGCGGAUUUCAGAGGGGAAAGGGAGGCAGAAAACCCUAGAAAUUGGGAAUUUUAGAAUUAGAGAAGGAAAUAGGGAAUAGAGAGGAAGGAGAAGAUGAGGAGCCGGCCUCGCCACGCUGGAGGCGGCGAGAACCGGCGAUGUUCGCCGGAGAAACGCAGAGAGAGAGAGAGAGACGGUAGAGAGAAGGGGGGGAUGAAACAGAACGCAGAGAGAAGUGAAAUCUGUUCUAAAUUCUUAGAAGAC
rnacentral:lncRNA from 1 species